rnacentral:lncRNA from 1 species
AUCUCAGAGUUUGAGAAGCUUUUGAAGGUCUUCUAGCUCCUGGUGUAUAAACUCUCUCUGUAAUUCUCUGCUUAAAUUUCUGAUGACAACGUCUUGAAUAUUCUAUAAGGAGACUUACCAAGGAUAUACUCCUGAUUGCCCAUGUCUGUCUUAGAAUGUGAUCCAAAAACUGAAAAAAACACUCCAGAGGAAAAAGGAAUAGUUAACUUUUCCUGGAAAAAUUAAUGCAACCUAAAAUUCCAGCAACUUCUUCGCCUGUUCUAAUGGCUUCACUUAGUACUUUGUGAUUCCUUUGCCUUUCCUCGAUACUCUUUCUUUAUAACAAAAAAGCAUACCACAAGUAGCCUGGAUUUUGAACUAAACUAAAAGGUAACAAAGUGGACAUGAGAGAAAUUCUCAAAGGCUGUAUGCUGCCACCUGUGACACACUUGGGACAGUGAUGGCUUCAAUGGCUUUGGCACCUUUCUUACAGACAGAAUGUAACCAAAAGCAGCAGGAGAGGAAAAAAGCGGCUGAUGCCAUGCAGUAGCAAAUGUGUCUGGGAACACUCAAAGAGACACUCCCUUAAGUACAACCGGUACAUCCAUCCAGAGCUCGGGAGCCCUUUAGGGCGAUGUGCAGAGCCAGCAGUUAUUGGUGGGUCCUAAAGGCAGAGAAGCACCGAGACUCCAAUUCACCUUUGGUCUGAAAAACACCAGCUGCAUGCAGAGCGCCAUCCAAGAGUAAGACAAGCAAAUGCUGGCUGUGAAACACAUUGAUAAGAACAAAGCAGGACAAAGCUCAACAAGAAAGCUCUGAAGUGAAAAUCCUGGUAAAUUACCAAAGGUAGCAAAACUAUUUAAUGACAGAAUUGGAAGCAGAACCUGGCAGUCUAGCCUCCCAAUCCAGUGCAAACAGAUCUGUGUAUUUCGACAACUUUUCAGGCUAUGGUUACCUAAAGAUUAUUUGUGAAGAGAUUUCUUGAAUUAAACACACGCUUUAAGUAUUUUCUACUUGUGAUUAUGUCUUUUAAUUAUGUCAGCAUGUUUUGUUUUUAUGAUUUUUACUUCUGAUAAAAUCUUACCGAAG